GGACGACGCUGGCGGCGUGCCUAAUACAUGCAAGUUGAACGCAACAAAGACACCAGAGCUUGCUCUACCGUCUUUGUUGAGUAGCGAACGGGUGAGUAACGCGUGGGUAACCUGCCUUAUAGCGGGGGAUAACUAUUGGAAACGAUAGCUAAUACCGCAUAACAAUAGAGAUUGCAUAAUCUUUAUUUGAAAGUGCCAACUGGUACACUAUGAGAUGGACCCGCGUUGUAUUAGCUAGUUGGUAGUGUAAUGGACUACCAAGGCGAUGAUACAUAGCCGACCUGAGAGGGUGAUCGGCCACAUUGGGACUGAGACACGGCCCAAACUCCUACGGGAGGCAGCAGUAGGGAAUCUUCGGCAAUGGACGAAAGUCUGACCGAGCAACGCCGCGUGAGUGAAGAAGGUUUUCGGAUCGUAAAACUCUGUUGUUAGAGAAGAAUGUUGAUUAGAGUGGAAAAUUAAUCAAGUGACGGUAUCUAACCAGAAAGGGACGGCUAACUACGUG
rnacentral:rRNA from 1 species